rnacentral:rRNA from 1 species
CACGUAGGGCGCAAGCGUUGUCCGGAAUUAUUUGGGCGUAAAGGAGCUACGUAGGCGGUCUGUUACGUCUGCUGUGAAAACCCUGGGCUUAACCCUGGGCUUGCAGUGGAUACGGGCAGACUAGAGGCAGGUAGGGGAGAUUGGAAUUCUGGUGUAGCGGUGGAAUGCGCAGAUGUCAGGAGGAACACCGAUGGCGAAGG